ACUUCAAGUUAUCUCAGAGGCAGUUGGUCUCCCAUUACAAGAAGGGUGAUUACAGUACAGUGUUUAGAGAGGGACUGCAUUCAUCUUUUAUUACAGUUUUUCAGGUUGAGAUUACUGGGAAGGGAGAGAAACAUCCAUAAAUCAGAGGAGGUCUACUCACAACAUGAGAAGCGCAAAGUACUGAAAAGUAUGAAUUAAGGAUGAGGAAUUUUGUCUGACAGUGGCAUAGAAAAGUUUAUGCAAACUUUUCUCAAUCCAUGUCCUACAGAGACAAGAUGAAAUAGCCCCCAAUCUUCUUUGGCAAAUCAGAAGACAUUCAACCUAGACUAGGUUCCAGUUAUGAUCAUGGCAGCUUUGAAGAGAAACUGAUGGUUAAGAAGACUACUAGCAAGUAUUUUUCCUGAGUUUCUCAAGAUAUGAAUGGGCUAGCUCAGUCUGGGAAAAAUACAUCUAAGGAAUAGAUCUAAAAAGUAUAAUGCAUUUUCCCUCCAGUCACUUCAAAUGUGUUUUUCCUGACCCAUUAUGUUACCUUCUAAAUGAAAACCUAAAUACAAAUUGAAUCCGUGUGGUAUGGAGACCACCAAAUUUC